rnacentral:sRNA from 1 species
GUAGAUUGCUCAUCCUACUUAUUAUGACAGCUUUGCUUCAUAAACCCAGGGAUGACGCAAAGCCAAUAAUUGGUGCCUAUUGUCCAAUUUAGAUGAACAAGAACUGAUUUCUUCUCAUCAACUCGUGGACGUAACGUUGAGUGAGGCACUAUCCGUCUGUAGACCUGAUUGUAUAUUUACACCUGCCAAGAAUGGGCAGGUGUUUUUUU